rnacentral:rRNA from 1 species
UACGUAGGGAGCAAGCGUUGUCCGGAAUUAUUGGGCGUAAAGAGCUCGUAGGCGGUUUGUCGCGUCGGAUGUGAAAGCCCGGGGCUUAACUCCGGGUCUGCAUUCGAUACGGGCAGACUAGAGUGUGGUAGGGGAGAUCGGAAUUCCUGGUGUAGCGGUGAAAUGCGCAGAUAUCAGGAGGAACACCGGUGGCGAAGGCGGGUCUCUGGGCCAGUAACUGACGCUGAGGAGCGAAAGCGUGGGGAGCGAACAGG